rnacentral:rRNA from 1 species
UGCGGAGGGAUCAUUACACAAAUAUGAAAGCGGGCUGGAACCUCUCGGGGUUACAGCCUUGCUGAAUUAUUCACCCUUGUCUUUUGCGUACUUCUUGUUUCCUUGGUGGGUUCGCCCACCACUAGGACAAACAUAAACCUUUUGUAAUUGCAAUCAGCGUCAGUAACAAAUUAAUAAUUACAACUUUCAACAACGGAUCUCUUGGUUCUGGCAUCGAUGAAGAACGCAGCGAAAUGCGAUAAGUAGUGUGAAUUGCAGAAUUCAGUGAAUCAUCGAAUCUUUGAACGCACAUUGCGCCCUUUGGUAUUCCAAAGGGCAUGCCUGUUCGAGCGUCAUUUGUACCCUCAAGCUUUGCUUGGUGUUGGGCGUCUUGUCUCUAGCUUUGCUGGAGACUCGCCUUAAAGUAAUUGGCAGCCGGCCUACUGGUUUCGGAGCGCAGCACAAGUCGCACUCUCUAUCAGCAAAGGUCUAGCAUCCAUUAAGCCUUUUUUCAACUUUUGACCUCGGAUCAGGUAGGGAUACCCGCUGAACUUAAGCAUAUCAAUAAGCGGAGGAAAAGAAACCAACAGGGAUUGCCCUAGUAACGGCGAGUGAAGCGGCAACAGCUCAAUUUGAAAUCUGGCUCUUUUAGAGUCCGAGUUGUAAUUUGCAGAGGGCGCUUUGGCUUUGGCAGCGGUCCAAGUUCCUUGGAACAGGACGUCACAGAGGGUGAGAAUCCCGUACGUGGUCGCU